GUCAUGGCUAUAACUUGUACUUCUUUUAUCAUUACGUUAUUUAUUUUUUAUUAUUGUUUAUUUUUGUUAAUUUAUUCAAUAUUAAAAUUUUUAUUGAAACAACCCUCAAUUAACAUGCACAUACUUUUUCUAACGAUAUAGUCCCCACUUUUUUACAGAAUAUCGUUUUAUAAAAGUUAGUAUGACACGACCUUUGAAAUCUGCAGCUAUCGCUAUUUUAUUUAUUAUGAAGUGAGAGUCAGAUCCAGCCAGAUUAUAAAACAUAACAGGCUGUUCAACGCAACAUACUCUUUUGGGAAAAACACGGCGACCUCGGACAGCUUUUACGUCUCAGCAACUUCUAGAAUUAGAAAAACAAUUCCGUCAGAAUAAAUAUCUAAGUCGACCUAAAAGAUUUGAAGUUGCCACAUCAUUAAUGUUGACAGAAACUCAGGUUCCAUUCCUGAUCAAAGGAGCUAGCUAAUAUGAGCACAGACUACUUUGGUCUAGGUUUUGCCGUGCAAUUUUUCUUCAGUGUGGUUCUAGGAUUUUUUCUUUGACCCACAGAUCUUUGGACUUGAGUAAAUGCAAGGCAGU